UACGGAGGAUGCAAGCGUUAUCCGGAAUGAUUGGGCGUAAAGCGUCCGCAGGUGGCAAUGUAAGUCUGCUGUUAAAGAGUCUAGCUCAACUAGAUAAAAGCAGUGGAAACUACAUAGCUAGAGUACGUUCGGGGCAGAGGGAAUUCCUGGUGUAGCGGUGAAAUGCGUAGAGAUCAGGAAGAACACCAGUGGCGAAGGCGCUCUGCUAGGCCGUAACUGACACUGAGGGACGAAAGCUAGGGGGGGCGAAUGGG
rnacentral:rRNA from 1 species